rnacentral:tRNA from 1 species
UGGUCAGGGAUUGAUUCCCAGGUUUGCCGAGACCAUCUGACUCUUAAUCAGCGGGUCAUAGGUUCGAGUCCUAUACAGG